rnacentral:rRNA from 1 species
GAACGGACGAGAAGCUUGCUUCUCUGAUGUUAGCGGCGGACGGGUGAGUAACACGUGGAUAACCUACCUAUAAGACUGGGAUAACUUCGGGAAACCGGAGCUAAUACCGGAUAAUAUUAUUGAACCGCAUGGUUCAAAAGUGAAAGACGGUCUUGCUGUCACUUAUAGAUGGAUCCGCGCUGCAUUAGCUAGUUGGUAAGUGUAACGGCUUACCAAGGCAACGAUGCAUAGCCGACCUGAGAGGGUGAUCGGCCACACUGGAACUGAGACACGGUCCAGACUCCUACGGGAGGCAGCAGUAGGGAAUCUUCCGCAAUGGGCGAAAGCCUGACGGAGCAACGCCGCGUGAGUGAUGAAGGUCUUCGGAUCGUAAAACUCUGUUAUUAGGGAAGAACAUAUGUGUAAGUAACUGUGCACAUCUUGACGGUACCUAAUCAGAAAGCCACGGCUAACUACGUGCCAGCAGCCGCGGUAAUACGUAGGUGGCAAGCGUUAUCCGGAAUUAUUGGGCGUAAAGCGCGCGUAGGCGGUUUUUUAAGUCUGAUGUGAAAGCCCACGGCUCAACCGUGGAGGGUCAUUGGAAACUGGAAAACUUGAGUGCAGAAGAGGAAAGUGGAAUUCCAUGUGUACGGUGAAAUGCGCAGAGAUAUGGAGGAACACCAGUGGCGAAGGCGACUUUCUGGUCUGUAACUGACGCUGAUGUGCGAAUAGCGUGGGGAUCAAACAGGAUUAGAUACCCUGGUAGUCCACGCCGUAAACGAUGAGUGCUAAGUGUUAGGGGGUUUCCGCCCCUUAGUGCUGCAGCUACGCAUUAAGCACUCCGCC